ACCAGUGCCCUACUUUUUCUCAGUCCCUGCCUGGCAGAUACAUAGGAAGACACGUUUUCCCAUCUUCCCAAGAAUUUUGGGAGAAUGAAUGGCGAUUUUCGACAGAGUAGUGUGAGGCAAUCUGGCCUUUCAUCAAAAAAAAAAAAAAAUAAUGGACAAAAGAAACAAGUCUGGGGAAUGUGGACUUCCACCCUAGUCCUGCGUGCUAUGGAGAAAGAAAAUAACGAACCCCAGUUGCACUUGAAGUUUACCCACCAACAAGAAGAGAGCCUGGUGAGGACCUUUUAAGUAACUAUAAGCCACAGUCUCUACACAGCUUCCUCCACUUAUUCAAUUAUUAGAAUAUUUUCAUUAAUGCUCACCUUAUUUUUGGUGUACAAAGAAUAUGCACCAUGUCAGUAAAGUAUAUGUAUAUGUAUGUAUGUAUGUAUGUGUGUGUGUGUGUGUGUGUGUGUGUGUGUGUGUGUAUGUUCCUGUCUAUGUUUGAGCCUGUUCUUCCAUGAACUCACUAUAAAAUUUUAUAAAAUGACUUAGAAGACUGUAGUGAAAACUGUCCAGGUUCAUGCAAACAUGCAUUACUACUGUCCCAUGGUACCUUGCAGAUAACACUGAUACUGUGGACUACUUUAAUACAGCCUAAGUCCGGGCUCUGCAUGGUGCUCAUUGACAUUUUGACGUCGGAACCACGACAGAAAUCAGCAAAAGGUUCAUUUAUUACAUGCUGUUGUUACUAAGGUGAGGCAAAGCCUUGCCCCAUAUAGAGACUGGUAGGAUGUCAUGGCAGUACAUAAACUCGCUUUUCCCUGU